UUUUCAGCACAAAUCCAAUUUUCAGCCCCAUACCAGCCUAAAGAAAAUUAAAUUUAUCCCAGCCAAAACUGCUGCCCCCAUGUGUACAAAGAGUUAACAACUCGGUGUACUCACAGGAUAGGAAAUAAGAACAGACUUAAUACUGAAGUGCAGUGUAUCCUCAGGAAACACACACACUUCCUUGGGUGACCAGAACAAAGGGGUCCACCCAGCACCACGACACAGCAGCCCACAAGACAGCUGGAUUGACAGAGGCACAAACAAGUCAAGUGACCUGCCCGGGUCAGGCAGUGCCGGUGGCUUGGAACAGAUUGGAGCCCUCCUGUCUCCAAACCCUGCACUGGACCGUGCUCCCUUUUACAAGUUCUUCUACACUAGAGAUAAAUUGUGUCCACUUUUCCCUUUUGUCUUCUUGUCUCAUAGUAAGCCCCCCUCAUUUUGUUUAUAUGGUUGUUUCACUUCUGAAUACAGGUUUAAGCUACG